CGCCAAAUGGCCAGGACUUAACAGCUAACAGCCCCCUCGUUUUUGUCCCUGCUUCUAACUUAGGACCAACCAGAGAAAGCCACAAUGCCACAAAGGCUCACGAUGAAACCAGCCUGAACCGGCUAGAUCCAAGGUGGUGGGCUUUCCUUCUUGGUUGAUCCCUGUGUUUCCAUACCAACCCCCGAAAGCUGAAGGACAUUUGCCUUGAUUUAUCUCUGCGUUUAUUUCAAAAGCCCUUGGUGUCUGACCAGAGAGGUUUUGCAGCUGUGCUUUAGGAGACACACUGGGUUGACUGCCCCAAACUGGAUCAGAGCAACGUGCCAGCCCAGAUGGGACCUCAAGAUGUCCGAGAGUUACCUCUGCUUUACGACCACGCUCAGAUCUUCCCCUGAAGGGGGAAUUAAUACGGUGCCAGGCACGGCUGGCGCUGCGUGCAAAGGACCGCGGACGACUGCGCAUGCCCGGGCUGCCCCUGAAACUCUCCGCCCCUUUCCUGCAGCCCUGAGGACCUGUGGGCCACCUAACCCCAAAAGUCCCCUUGUUCCUCCUACCCCUUGGGGGAGAAGAUGCUUUUAGAACAGGAACCCCCCUUCUCCAUUUUCUGGCCAUUGUCAAGCUUGUCUUAUGCGGACCAAAGCCUGUCAGUUCCAGGGGGACUUCGGUUCAGCCAGAGCCCCAACGGCGAGCGGGCGUCUCGUUUGGUAAAGGCAUCGCUGGUGAAAGACUCAGGUCUGAGGCUUCUUAGGGCCAGGCCUCAUGGUCAGAGAGAGACACAGCUGGGAUUUGAAUUUGACAUUGCGGUUGAACUUGGAGGCUGAUUCCCUUCACGGUCCAAGAUGGUCACCACCCGGGCCAACUGCAGCUUCGAAGGCGGAAAAGAGGACCAACUGUUCCUAAUUUUCUUCAAGAGACAAUAAAAUCUUUUCCAUCGGCCCCCCAGCAGACUUCCUUGCACUUGGCAUUGGCCAGAACGUGGUCACAUGCCCCUUGCUGGGAAAAGGAGCAUCAUGAUUGGCUCAGCCUUUGACCAAUCAGGACUUGUCUUUCCUGGAGGGCUCGGAUCCUUAAUUCACUGCUGCGGGCGGAGACGGAGGUGGCUCUUCAGCAGCUCUAGGACUCUUGUAACAAGGAAGGUAGGGAGAAAUGGGUGCUACGGCGAGGCUUCCCACCAGCCUCCACCAGACUCCCAUACCUGCUACAUUUGAGAAGGGCAUCUUGUUCUCCAAGCCCAGUUUAGAGCCCUCCCUUCCCUUAGUUGCAGCCUAGGUGUCGUCUCUCUGCAUUCCUUCACGGUUAAGAGCAGCCCUUUGGAGAGGUCCCCCUGGGCGGCAUCUGGGGCCUCCAGCCAAAAGCCACAGGAAUGCACCAUCUUGAAAGCAGAUGUUCUGGCCUUUAGUCAACCGCAGCUUCGGCCCUUACCUCGACGGAAACCUCACGAGAGACUCUGAGCCAGAACUA